GUCAUCACAGGGUUCCUCCUCUUCUGCGUCAGUGUCAUCACAGGCUUCCUCCUCUUCUGCGUCAGUGUCAUCACAGGGUUCCUCCUCUUCUGCGUCAGUGUCAUCACAGGGUUCCUCCUCUUCUGCGUCAGUGUCAUCACAGGGUUCCUCCUCUUCUGCGUCAGUGUCAUCACAGGGUUCCUCCUCUUCUGCGUCAGUGUCAUCACAGGGUUCCUCCUCUUCUGAGCAUUCAUUAUCCCACCCGGGCAAUUAAACCAAGGUCAGCAUUCAUUAUCCCACCCGGGCAAUUAAACCAAGGUCAGCAUUCAUUAUCCCACCAGGGCAAUUAAGCCAAGGUCAGCAUUCAUUAUCCCACCAGGGCAAUUAAGCCAAGGUCAGCAUUCAUUAUCCCACCAGGGCAAUUAAGCCAAGGUCAGCAUUCAUUAUCCCACCAGGGCAAUUAAGCCAAGGUCAGCAUUCAUUAUCCCACCAGGGCAAUUAAGCCAAGGUCAGCAUUCAUUAUCCCACCAGGGCAAUUAAGCCAAGGUCAGCAUUCAUUAUCCCACCAGGGCAAUUAAGCCAAGGUCAGCAUUCAUUAUCCCACCAGGGCAAUUAAGCCAAGGUCAGCAUUCAUUAUCCCACCAGGGCAAUUAAGCCAAGGUCAGCAUCCCACCCGGGCAAUUAAGCCAAGGUCAGCAUUCAUUAUCCCACCCGGGCAAUUAAGCCAAGGUCAGCAUCCCACCCGGGCAAUUAAGCCAAGGUCAGCAGCCCACCCGGGCAAUUAAGCCAAGGUCAGCAUUCAUUAUCCCACCCUGGCAAUUAAGCCAAGGUCAGCAUCCCACCCGGGCAAUUAAGCCAAGGUCAGCAUCCCACCCUGGCAAUUAAGCCAAGAUCAGCAUCCCACCCUGACAGUCAGGCCAGGGUCAGCAACCCUCCCCAUUUCUCCGGGCUUGGGACCGGCUCUUAGUUGGGCUGGCUUGCCCCCCAAGAGGCUGGGUUGACAGUUUUUCGCCCAUUUCUUCACCUUCAUCAAUAACAACAUUUGUUUUGACGGUCUUCGUAAAAGACAAAGUGGAGGGCUUGACGUCAGCUUCAGUUGUCCUUAAAACAACUGUAGUUUCCUGUUUCUCUACUAACCAAGUUCUUCGUUACUAACUUCUGUUUCAAACGUCUUCACCGUUUUGUUUGAGGGUAACUUCUUCCUCAAUGUGUGCCCGUGAUUCGUUAUCACUCAGUACUUUACGUGUGUCCCUCCUUCAAAAUCGUGAUGAUGGUUAGGGCAACGUAUAUAUUGAGGGCAUUUAGUGUUGGCUGCCUCUUCGGACCGCCUGCAGGGGCCGGGGACCUCCUCAAGGCCCCUCAGUAACGUCGUCUCUGUCGUGAGGGGGCCCGAGGCUUCCCCCUCGGACCCCGUCCCCAGCAGGAAAACUGUCUGGCUCUUCACAAAUUGCCAAGACGAAGAUAAUUUUAAUAUUGGGUUAAAGUGUGUUAAUGCUGAUGAACCGAGGUUGUCAAUUCUAGGAUGGAAAACCGAAUGGACUCCUGACCGAGGAUUCAGCAUCGAAAAACUCCUCUUGCAACUCCGUCCGGCCGAGACCGUUUCUUUAAAGAAGGGAAUACCUAGUAAACAGAAAACUGUAUUUCGGGGUUUGUUGGUCUUUA